rnacentral:rRNA from 1 species
UACGUAGGGUGCAAGCGUUAAUCGGAAUUACUGGGCGUAAAGCGUGCGCAGGCGGCUUUGCAAGACAGAUGUGAAAUCCCCGGGCUUAACCUGGGAACUGCAUUUGUGACUGCAUGGCUAGAGUGCGGCAGAGGGGGAUGGAAUUCCGCGUGUAGCAGUGAAAUGCGUAGAUAUGCGGAGGAACACCGAUGGCGAAGGCAAUCCCCUGGGCCUGCACUGACGCUCAUGAACGAAAGCGUGGGGAGCAAACAGG